rnacentral:rRNA from 1 species
CCUACGGGUGGCAGCAGUGGGGAAUAUUGCACAAUGGGGGAAACCCUGAUGCAGCGACGCCGCGUGAGUGAAGAAGUUUCUCCGGACGGAAAACUCUAUCAGCAGGGAAGAAAAUGACGGUACCUGACUACGCAUCCCCGGCUACCUACGUCCCAGCCGCCGCGGUCAUACGUAGGGGGCCAGCGUUAACCGGGUUUACUGGGGGUAAAGGGGGCGUUGACGGCAGCACAAGUCUGGUGUGAAAUCCGGGGGGCUAACCCCGGAACUGCCUUGGAAACUGGGGGGCUGGAGUGCAGGAGGGGUAAGCGGAAUGCCUAGUGUAGCGGUGAAAUGCGUAGAUAUCAGGAGGAACACCGGUGGCGAAGGCGGCUUACUGGACUGUAACUGACGUUGAGGCUCGAAAGCGUGGGGAGCAAACAGGAUUAGAUACCCGUGUAGUC